GAUGAACGCUGACAGAAUGCUUAACACAUGCAAGUCAACUUGAACUUCGGUUUGGGUGGCGGACGGGUGAGUAACGCGUAAAGAACUUGCCUCACAGCUAGGGACAACAUUUGGAAACGAAUGCUAAUACCUGAUAUUAUGAUUAUAUGGCAUCGUAUAAUUAUGAAAGCUAUAUGCGCUGUGAGAGAGCUUUGCGUCCCAUUAGCUAGUUGGAGAGGUAACAGCUCACCAAGGCGAUGAUGGGUAGCCGGCCUGAGAGGGUGAUCGGCCACAAGGGGACUGAGACACGGCCCUUACUCCUACGGGAGGCAGCAGUGGGGAAUAUUGGACAAUGGACCGAGAGUCUGAUCCAGCAAUUCUGCGUGCACGAUGAAGUUUUUCGGAAUGUAAAGUGCUUUCAGUUGGGAAGAAAAAAAUGACGGUACCAACAGAAGAAGUGACGGCUAAAUACGUG
rnacentral:rRNA from 1 species